AGAUUGAUAGAAAAGUGUGAAUGUGUCAUGAUCUACAGUGCUAGUGGAAAUGAUUUGUUGAUGUGUAACUAAAUAUAUCCAUUGUGUUUGUUUCAUUGUCACUAUCAUGAAAUCGUGGAUGUGUUAUUUUGCGUUUUUCAUAAAAUUAUGGAGCCAGUUUUGUCUUGCGUUUUAUACUGUAAUAAACAUUGGAAUCCUGAAGGAUGGUGUGAUGCAGAAAUAGUAUAAUGUGCUGAUUUGUUGUUCCAGGGAAAAUGCUUCCUGGUUUGCUUGUACCAUGUAUUUUUAAUACGCUUUUGUUGAGUAAGUUUCCUUACUGUCUGGUAUGUGCUGAAUGUGUUGUCGUGUGUGUUGUGCUGUGUCGUGUGUUGCGUUGUGUUGUUUAUGUUAUAUUCAAUGAUGGUUAUAUUCAAUUGAAUAUGUUGUGUUACGACAACUAUCCUGAUAUAUCUUUUUAUUCAGAUCAAUAUCGGAUGUGGAACCGGAAUAUUGAAUACUCAUGCCAGUCAUGGGUUUUAAGUUACUGUAGUUUAAGAAAAAACGAAUUUUCCUUUCAAGUAUUCAUAUUCAGUCUCACCGGAAAUAUCCAUUUUUUAACUUUCUUUUUUGAGAUAUUAUGCUUUAAUUUUGGAACAAAUGAACUAUAUGUCAUAUUUAUGUUCAUAUAUAAGAAUCAGAAACAUUUAAGUGGGCAGGAAUAUUGAAUAUUAAAAAAAUAUUCCGCUUCCACCCCGGAAUAACUAAGACUGAACAUUCUUGCACUUUGAAUAGCUCGCGUAUAUUUUGUAGCGAGAAAUCUUUUCGCUAAUUUUGCAAUUUGAUUGUAUGCAUAUAAUGUAACUUUUACUGUAUCAAUUACCGUUUUUCAUAAUUUGGCGACAUGCAAGUGAACAUGAAGAACAAAGACCUACAAAUUGACAUUCUUGUUUUGUAAAAAAAUAAAUCUUGCUCUGUAGAAAAAAUCGAUCUUGUUCUGUAGCCGUGAUUAUGAAAAACUCGUCCACAUGCAUACGAUAGCAUAACUUUUGGAAAAAGUGGAAAUAUUGUGUUGUUGAAAUAACUCUGGAAGGCACGUUUGGCAAAGAGUAGGCGUUAUUAAUUGACGGGCACGAGAGAAAGGCGGGCAAAGAAAAGAGAUUGGAGGCGUAGACGAGUGCAUGGUAUCAUGUAUUCCAUAGUUUUCCUAAAUAUAUGUCCUGUUUAUGAAAAAAAUGCCCCAUCCUCGUCCCCAGGCCCAAGGUCGGGCGGAUGAAAUGCCCUUAUUCAAAAAGAAUUUUUUUAAUUUGCCCUAUACAGGGUGUAUCAAAAAAAACUGAACAGAUUUGAAAUUGCUCUCAAUUUCGCAAAACACCUAUUUGUAUCCGGUUUUUUAUAUAUAUAUAGCUUCUUUGGGUACUUAUAAUGUAAAAUAAUGAAAAAAAAUUCUCGAACUCAAAUUUUGUGAACCAGGGGGGGGUGUCUUUUCCAACAAAAUAAAAAGGACUCGCGCACAAAAUUUAAAAGUUGUAAUCAUAUUUUGAGUUAAUAGAUGGAAAAUAUGUCGGGUUUUUAAUUACUGUACAAAAUUUCAGACAAUUUGGUUUAGUUUAAGCCCUUUAACUAUUCACCCAAAAUUACAUUUUUCAUAAAAAUCAGCUAUUCGCAUGCUUAAUUAAUGCCUUUGCCUAAUUUGCAUAUGUCAUCAAUAUGCAAAUUAGGUAAAGGCAUAAUUAAGCAUGCGAAAGGCUGAUUUUCUAGAAUAAAAUGAAUAGUUAAAGGACUUAAACUAAACCAAAUUGUCUGAAAUUUUGUACAGUAAUUAAAAACCCAACCAAUUUUACAUCUAUUAACUCAAAAUAUGAUUACAGCUUUUAAAUUUUGUGCGCGAGCAAUUUUUAAUUUGUUGGAAAAGACACGCCCCCCCCCGUUCACAAAUUUUGAGUUCGAGAAUUUUUUUUCAUUGUUCUACAUUAUAAGUACCCAAAGAAGCUAUAUAUAUAAAAAACGGAUACAAAUAGGUGUUUUGCGAAAUUGAGAGCAAUUUCAAAUCUGUUCAGUUUUUUUUUAUACACCCUGUAUAUGUUGCUUGUACAAGCAAACGUGCUUUUCUGCAGUUAUUUCUCUUUCGUUUUCCAAUCUUUAUGCUCUUUACUCUUUAGGUGCAUGAGAAAAAUAUUUAUUUUUAUAGAUUCCUAUUAAAUAAUUAUAUAUUUGAUUGAUAAUUUGCACAUUUGAAUAGAGCACAUAACAUAAAUUCAUCAAAAGGAGUGUGUGAUGUGAAUUGUCUCUUUAUUUAAUUAAGAACAACUUGUUAACAAGUUUCAAGUUGUUCGUAACAAUUUUGUAACCGAUCUUGACAGAUUUGCAACAGGAUUGAUUAUUUGCGAUUGUCGGCAUAAAAUUAUACAAAUAUUUAAUGAAUAUUUAUGAGUGCAAUGGUAACUACAAUAGUGCAUGAG